UACGGGGGGGGCAAGCGUUGUUCGGAAUUACUGGGCGUAAAGGGCUCGUAGGCGGCCAACUAAGUCAGACGUGAAAUCCCUCGGCUUAACCGGGGAACUGCGUCUGAUACUGGAUGGCUUGAGAUUGGGAGAGGGAUGCGGAAUUCCAGGUGUAGCGGUGAAAUGCGCAGAUAUCAGGAGGAACACCGAUGGCGAAGGCAGGUCUCUGGGCCGCAACUGACGCUGAGGAGCGAAAGCAUGGGGAGCGAACAGG
rnacentral:rRNA from 1 species